rnacentral:rRNA from 1 species
AGUGAACGCUGGCGGUAGGCCUAACACAUGCAAGUCGAACGGCAGCACAGUAAGAGCUUGCUCUUACGGGUGGCGAGUGGCGGACGGGUGAGGAAUACAUCGGAAUCUACUUUUUCGUGGGGGAUAACGUAGGGAAACUUACGCUAAUACCGCAUACGACCUACGGGUGAAAGCAGGGGAUCUUCGGACUUUGCGCGAUUGAAUGAGCCGAUGUCGGAUUAGCUAGUUGGCGGGGUAAAGGCCCACCAAGGCGACGAUCCGUAGCUGGUCUGAGAGGAUGAUCAGCCACACUGGAACUGAGACACGGUCCAGACUCCUACGGGAGGCAGCAGUGGGGAAUAUUGGACAAUGGGCGCAAGCCUGAUCCAGCCAUGCCGCGUGGGUGAAGAAGGCCUUCGGGUUGUAAAGCCCUUUUGUUGGGAAAGAAAAGCAGCAGGUUAAUACCCCGCUGUUAUGACGGUACCCAAAGAAUAAGCACCGGCUAACUUCGUG